rnacentral:lncRNA from 15 species
GAGAUGGCACAGAAGUCUUUGACACAGAUUUAUUUAUUUUUUAGGGAGUCCCAGUGAAAAUUUGUGAAUUCUGGAUGUGUAAUUCUUAAUGUUAAGAGUACAACUGCUCCCUCACAAAACUUUUACUUUCCAUUACUAAGUCCUUUAGGGACUGAUAUUAUUUAAACACAAUGACAUUUACAGUGAAAACUUGUAAUAAUUAUAUUCAUACUACUAAUUUACAACAUAAAAUAAUGUUUUGAGCUGCCUAAAUUAUGUUUUUAAUCAACAUAAUGAUGAAAUGUUUGAAUUAACAUAUCUGCAAAAUUGCAAAAUGACAAAUAUUCUGUAAAAUGCUCAAUGACCAUGCAUUUCAUUUGAUUUUAUUACAGGUUUUCCACUUAUAGCAACUAACCUUUUUAUAACAAUAGGGGAAAGAUCAUGAUCCAACACUUCUUUUUAGAAAAAGGCUUUCUGAAGAGAUACCUGUAGCUGUACACCGGAGUGUUGUUUGUGUCAGAGGGCAGCGCCUCGCCGUCACAAAGAGGCCACGUCGGUUUCAGCUGACUGCAGCUGUGGCACUCGCCAUGUGUGGCUGGGAGACUGGAUACCUGCUACACAGCAUCCCGCUUACUGAAUCCAUCUCUCCCUCUCCCUAAACCCUGUAAGGGGACAGUCUCCCAAGUUCCACAGGAUCCCUGCGGUUGAAGACCACUUCUACUCCUUAUAGCGUGUUUCCACUUGUCCCUAAUCUACCUGUGGGACUUUACAGAUUGGAAAUAGAUCACAUGAGGAAAGCUUGGUACCUGCAGUGAUUCUUUCCCGCCCUGGUGGACGAUUAUUGGCAGGUUUUGGGGCCCUGCCACGAAGGGUGAACGAAUGCAUUUCUGCAGAUGACUGUGAGGCAAGGAAAGAUUGAAUUCUCACUCCCCUUCCAUCUGUGUGUGUGGUGGGGGAAACGGGUGAGUCUC